AGCCUAUUAGCUCAAAAUGGUAGAGCAUCGUGUGUUGACACACGAAGAUGUAGGUUCAAGUCCUACAUAGGCUA
rnacentral:tRNA from 1 species